rnacentral:rRNA from 1 species
CACGUAGGGUGCGAGCGUUGUCCGGAAUUAUUGGGCGUAAAGAGCUCGUAGGCGGUGUGUCGCGUCGGCCGUGAAAACCUGCAGCUUAACUGUGGGCUUGCGGUCGAUACGGGCAUCACUGGAGUUCGGCAGGGGAGACUGGAAUUCCUGGUGUAGCGGUGAAAUGCGCAGAUAUCAGGAGGAACACCGGUGGCGAAGGCGGGUCUCUGGGCCGAUACUGACGCUGAGGAACGAAAGCUAGGGGAGCAAACAGG